UGGGGAAUAUUGCACAAUGGGCGGAAGCCUGAUGCAGCGACGCCGCGUGGGGGAUGAAGGCCUUCGGGUUGUAAACUCCUUUCGACAGGGACGAAGCUUUUGUGACGGUACCUGUAUAAGAAGCACCGGCUAACUACGUGCCAGCAGCCGCGGUAAUACGUAGGGUGCGAGCGUUGUCCGGAAUUACUGGGCGUAAAGAGCUCGUAGGUGGUUUGUCGCGUCGUCUGUGAAAUUCCGGGGCUUAGCUCCGGGCGUGCAGGCGAUACGGGCUGACUUGAGUGCUGUAGGGGAGACUGGAAUUCCUGGUGUAGCGGUGAAAUGCGCAGAUAUCAGGAGGAACACCGAUGGCGAAGGCAGGUCUCUGGGCAGUAACUGACGCUGAGGAGCGAAAGCAUGGGUAGCGAACAGG
rnacentral:rRNA from 1 species